rnacentral:lncRNA from 1 species
CGUGCCGUGAGGCGCUGCGCAGCACCUGAGGGCGCGGCCGUAACGGCUGCAGCUCCAGAGCGGAGAGGUGGCUUGCCGCCUGCUGCUCCAGCACAGCUUGAUUACCUCUGCGGGGAAACGUUUCUUACGUAUUUAUGGGAUCAGGUUGCGAUGAAGGUGUCAUUCCCCAUCCUUUCCUCUCCGUGCUGGCGGGGGUUCCCCAGGAAGGCACGCAAGUGCUGCCUGGAAAAUGGAGGCGCCGCUCAGCCGGGUCUUUGUGAAGGGGAGAGCGGCUGGGAGCACCGACCUGGUCGUGAGGGGAGAGCUGACCCUGCCCAUGGCGAGCAGGCAGGGUGAGCAGAGGCCGGGGGAGGAGGCAGCCCUGGGUAUGCCGGUGCCACUCGGUGUGGUUGAAUACAGCAGUGCGUUUUGUGGUCCAGAGAGCCAUUUUACAGAAGGACUGCUGUGUGAUACACAUCCACCAUUGAUUUUUCUGCAAGGAACAGAAGCAGAUCCCUUAAAUCUACCGUGAAUGUAUUGGUCUUCUAUUACUGCAAGUCCCCAUCUUUUUGAAUUGAAAAGAGAAAGAGCAGAGGCUUUUCUUAAACAUUUCCCACUUCUUCCUAACAUUGCCAUGGUAAGAAUGCCACAUCUGACAGCACUGCCUCAGCAGAACAAGCACUGAAAACAAAGGAAGCAUUAACCAGUGAGGAACCAGAGAGGGUCGCUUUUUUCUCCAUCAGAUUUUAAGUAUCUUUGAAAGCCAUGUUGGUCGAUUUACAUUUUGUACAUACUGCAAAGAAUGGUACAUUAAGAUAAAUGACGUGUUGUCAUGCCUUCCAGUGUUACAGUGGGUGACAGGCAAACUUAGAGAUCCAUGUAUGCUUUACAGAACAGUACAUCCAUUCAAAUAAACUCAUACAAAACUAACUCAACGGUGAAGCACAGUUUUAAACAGGUAAAAUGAAUAAGCUGUGAAAAUAGUGCAGCUCCCAUCAACACACUCUGUGGUUCUACCACCUCGUGGCCAACACAACGUAUUGCAGUUCUGCUUCUUGUGCAUGCAGAUUGCCUUAACACGAGCAAUGGAAAGUCAGAAUCAAGGCGGGCAGUUGGCAUCAGCAAAUACAGUCAACACACAGCUGUACUUUGCCCUUAGCUGAUACAUUAAAAAACAGCAGCGUUAAAAUACAGCCUGCAAUAGCCUGGCUGCUACCUCAACUUGCUUAAAGUUAUGCAAGGAUAAAGAACACCAACAGCAUUUCAGUGGAUGUGUUUCAGUUUAAUUUCAAUCUCCUCCCAUGAAAAGCACACACAAAACAAAGCUGAGAACGAUCUAGUACUGUUUACUUCUUGCCCAUUAGUAUGACCUUUUCCC